UACGUAGGGUGCAAGCGUUGUCCGGAAUUAUUGGGCGUAAAGAGCUCGUAGGCGGUCUGUCGCGUCUGCUGUGAAAACUCAGGGCUUAACCCUGAGCUUGCAGUGGGUACGGGCAGACUAGAGUGCGGUAGGGGAGACUGGAAUUCCUGGUGUAGCGGUGAAAUGCGCAGAUAUCAGGAGGAACACCGGUGGCGUAAGGCGGGUCUCUGGGCCGUAACUGACGCUGAGGAGCGGAAAGCAUGGGGAGCGAACAGG
rnacentral:rRNA from 1 species